CAAAUCCUCUGUGUUCAAAGCAUUAACCAUUGGCUUCUGUGAACUUAUAAAUAUUGAGGAAAUGAGGAGGGGAACGAUUUGGAUAUAAGGCUUCUGUUUUAAAAAUAAAUCAUAUUAUUUUGUGAUAAUUUGUAUCCUUGGAGUGUUCUGCCCUCCAAGUGUUUGAUGAAAUGCCUCAAUGGUUUUUUUUUCCAUAUUUUGUAUGUUUUAUCAUACCCUUUAAGUGUUUGAUGAAUUGCCUCAACUAAUACUUGUUUCUUUAUGUCUGUUGAUUAUCAGAUUGUAUGCUAGCAUGGAGUCGGAUCACGGAGUAUCAACUCAAAGUUCAGUUCAGAUGACCCGUGAAUUAAAAGGCAUGAUUGUUGGUGCUGUGGCAGCCAUUAUUGGUCAUGUUCUUGUUUUUCUUGAAGUUUAUAUGUCUAGAAAUAGAGGUCCUAGAAUAAUAAGGCAACCUUACGUGAAUAGGGAUAGUUUGAGGGAGGCUAAUAUCAAUAGUAUUCUAUAUUGUGGUGAUACUCAUUGUCUAGGACAGAUUCGUAUGAGACCCGCUGCUUAUUUUAGCUUGUGCAAUAUUUUAGUUAAGAGGGGACUACUGUGGGAGUGUCGUCAAAUGAGUGUGAAUGAGCAAGUACUUGUAUUUUUACACUUGUUGGGACAUAAUGUAAGGUUUCGAGCAAUUGGAGGGAGGUUUUUUAGGUCAACUUGGACCAUACAUCAGUAUUUUCACAUUGUGCUUAAAGCUAUCCUUCGAUUGUACACAGAAUUUGUGAAACCACCAACAACUACACUUCAACCAGAAAUCCAAAAUAACCCUAGGUUCUUUCCAUGGUUUGAGGAUUUCAUAGGAGCUAUAGAUGGAACACAUGUACGUGCUUCUGUUCCUAUUGAGAUGCAAGAUAGAUUUCGCGGUAGGAAGGGUGGGACGACACAAAAUGUAUUAGCUGCUGUUGAUUUUGACCUUAAGUUUACUUAUGUUCUUGCUGGUUGGGAGGGUUCUGCGCAUGAUUCGAAGGUCUUAGGUGAUGCACUAAGAAGGGGGUUCUACGUAUUUGUUGUCUCUUACUUUUUGUAGUUGUAGAUUGAUUGAUAAUUUGGUAAUGAUUUGCGAUUUAUUUACAUAUAUAGGAAAGUAUUAUCUGGCUGACGGAGGGUACGGUGAUCGGAAAGGUUUUAUGCCUCCAUUUAGGAAAGUCCGUUAUCAUUUGAAAGAGUAUACUAACAACCCUCCUGAAAAUGAAAAAGAGUUGUUCAAUCUUCGCCAUUCUUCACUUAGAAUGUGUGUAGAGAGGGCAUUUGGAGUACUGAAGAAGAGGUUUCGUGUCUUGGAUGCCGAGCCAUUUUGGCCAUUUAAAACACAAGUUGAUGUGGUUCUAGCUUGUUGUGUGAUACACAACUACCUUAGAGGCGUAGAUCCAAAUGACCCAAUUGCAAGAGAAGUUGACAUGGAGAUGAAUUCACAAGAUGCAAGAGCACCACUUACUCGAAGGGAAGUGAGAGAAGAAACAAAAGAGUGUGUGAAAAAGAGAAAUUCCAUAUCAUUGGCGAUGUGGACUGCAUAUAAGGCAUAUAAGAAGCCUCGGACAAUGUAAACUCUUAUGUGAAAAAGGAAGAAAAGAAAGCGAAUUUUCGUUGGUCAAAACCGAUGUCCAAGGUAUUGCUGGAAUUUCUUGCUGAAGAAGUGAGAAAAGGAAACAGACCAAACAACUCUUUCAGAACUAGUUCUUUUGUAGCAGCUGC